AUUGAACGCUGGCGGCAUGCUUUACACAUGCAAGUCGAACGGUAACAGGCCGCAAGGUGCUGACGAGUGGCGCACGGGUGAGUAAUGCAUCGGAACGUGCCCAGUCGUGGGGGAUAACUACUCGAAAGAGUAGCUAAUACCGCAUACGAUCUAUGGAUGAAAGCGGGGGACCGUAAGGCCUCGCGCGAUUGGAGCGGCCUAUGUCAGAUUAGGUAGUUGGUGGGGUAAAGGCUCACCAAGCCAACGAUCUGUAGCUGGUCUGAGAGGACGACCAGCCACACUGGGACUGAGACACGGCCCAGACUCCUACGGGAGGCAGCAGUGGGGAAUUUUGGACAAUGGGCGCAAGCCUGAUCCAGCAAUGCCGCGUGCAGGAAGAAGGCCUUCGGGUUGUAAACUGCUUUUGUACGGAACGAAACGGCUCUGGUUAAUACCCGGGGCUAAUGACGGUACCGUAAGAAUAAGCACCGGCUAACUACGUG
rnacentral:rRNA from 1 species